rnacentral:rRNA from 1 species
GCUACCUCUGCUGAGAGAAGUAAGUGGCGCACGGGUGAGUAACGCGUGGGUAAUCUACCUCUGAAUUGGGGAUAACAUUGCGAAAGCGAUGCUAAUACCGAAUAAUAUCUCUUAAGCCUCGGUUUUUGAGAUCAAAGGUGGUCUCUACAUGUAAACUACCGUUUGGAGAUGAGCCCGCGUACCAUUAGCUUGUUGGUAGGGCAAUGGCCUACCAAGGCUGCGAUGGUUAGCUGGUCUGAGAGGAUGAUCAGCCACACUGGAACUGACACACGGUCCAGACUCCUACGGGAGGCAGCAGUGAGGAAUUUUGCGCAAUGGGGGAAACCCUGACGCAGCAACGCCGCGUGAGUGAUGAAGGCCUUCGGGUCGUAAAGCUCUGUCAAGUGGGAAGAAACUGUUUGAUGAUAAUACCAUCUUACACUGACGGUACCACUGAAGGAAGCACCGGCUAACUCCGUGCCAGCAGCCGCGGUAAUACGGGGGGUGCAAGCGUUAUUCGGAAUUAUUGGGCGUAAAGGGCGCGUAGGCGGUCUCUUAAGUCAGAUGUGAAAGCCCGGGGCUUAACUCCGGAAGUGCAUUUGAAACUAAGGGACUUGAGUAUGGGAGAGGGAAGUGGAAUUCCUGGUGUAGCGGUGAAAUGCGUAGAUAU